rnacentral:rRNA from 1 species
UACGUAGGGGGCAAGCGUUGUCCGGAAUCAUUGGGCGUAAAGCGCGCGUAGGCGGCCCGGUAAGUCCGCUGUAAAAGUCCAGGGCUCAACCCUGGAAAGCCGGUGGAUACUGUCGUGCUAGAGUGCGGAAGGGGCUACUGGAAUUCUCGGUGUAGCGGUGAAAUGCGUAGAUAUCGAGAGGAACACCUGCGGCGAAGGCGGGUAGCUGGGCCGACACUGACGCUGAUGCGCGAAAGCCAGGGGAGCGA